UACGUAGGGUGCGAGCGUUAAUCGGAAUUACUGGGCGUAAAGCGUGCGCAGGCGGUUCGUUAUGUCUGUCGUGAAAGCCCCGGGCUCAACCCGGGAAUGGCGAUGGAAACUGGCGGGCUAGAGUGUGGCAGAGGGGGGUGGAAUUCCGCGUGUAGCAGUGAAAUGCGUAGAGAUGCGGAGGAACACCGAUGGCGAAGGCAGCCCCCUGGGCUAACACUGACGCUCAUGCACGAAAGCGUGGGGAGCAAACAGG
rnacentral:rRNA from 1 species